CGGAGGGAGUAGCAAAAUCCUCUCGGUCACGACCACCCAAAUACACCUCCUUUUUGGCUUUCCCAGUUCCCACAAAGGAAUUUCCGAGAGAAAGGUCAAAGCAGAUGAAACGGACAUGAGCAUUCUUUUCCUGCAACUUCUGGUGUCGUUGUUUGCAAGCUAACCAUAAAGCGGACAGGCCCAACAACAACUCCUUAGCAAUUUGGAGAGUGGCUAGGUUGUAAAGCUGAGAAACUUCUUUGGAAGGAGAAAUGUCCUCAAAUAAGAAGUUCCACCAAACACAGCACUGAUGAGGAUAUUCAAAAGACAAAACCAACACCUUCUUGUCCCCUGGAUCUUCAGUCAACCAGUUUUUCAUUUAAUGGAUCAUUCUGUGAAAAGCUUUGUUAAUUUAUUUUGCAUGUGUUUGCAGCUGUUUGGACUUUUAAGAAUACAUGAGAAGAUGGUUUGGGUUGCUCAAAAUCCCGUUGUACUUGGCCCAUGUUAGUCAACUGAUAAAUAAUCUGGUCAGAAAAAGUCAGUGCAUACAAUGCUUAUUGUAAAAUGUAUUUGAGAUGAGAAAGAAAUCAUAAUUUCUCUGAUUUGCUCUAUUUACUCUUCAAA